CAUAAAACACUGAGGGGGAGGAUGAGAAGCUUCGGCAAGGUUCGAGUCUCACAUAGUGAGACAACGUGCUUUAGCUCGGCCCGAAGGGUGAGGAACGAAGAGACGAAUAAUCCUUCCCCCACCACCA
rnacentral:sRNA from 1 species